rnacentral:rRNA from 1 species
GAUGAACGCUGGCGGCGUGCCUAAUACAUGCAAGUCGAGCGAACGGACGAGAAGCUUGCUUUUCUGAUGUUAGCGGCGGACGGGUGAGUAACACGUGGAUAACCUACCUAUAAGACUGGGAUAACUUCGGGAAACCGGAGCUAAUACCGGAUAAUAUUUUGAACCGCAUGGUUCAAAAGUGAAAGACGGUCUUGCUGUCACUUAUAGAUGGAUCCGCGCUGCAUUAGCUAGUUGGUAAGGUAACGGCUUACCAAGGCAACGAUGCAUAGCCGACCUGAGAGGGUGAUCGGCCACACUGGAACUGAGACACGGUCCAGACUCCUACGGGAGGCAGCAGUAGGGAAUCUUCCGCAAUGGGCGAAAGCCUGACGGAGCAACGCCGCGUGAGUGAUGAAGGUCUUCGGAUCGUAAAACUCUGUUAUUAGGGAAGAACAUAUGUGUAAGUAACUGUGCACAUCUUGACGGUACCUAAUCAGAAAGCCACGGCUAACUACGUGCCAGCAGCCGCGGUAAUACGUAGGUGGCAAGCGUUAUCCGGAAUUAUUGGGCGUAAAGCGCGCGUAGGCGGUUUUUUAAGUCUGAUGUGAAAGCCCACGGCUCAACCGUGGAGGGUCAUUGGAAACUGGAAAACUUGAGUGCAGAAGAGGAAAGUGGAAUUCCAUGUGUAGCGGUGAAAUGCGCAGAGAUGUGGAGGAACACCAGUGGCGAAGGCGACUUUCUGGUCUGUAACUGACGCUGAUGUGCGAAAGCGUGGGGACCAAACAGGAUUAGAUACCCUGGUAGUCCACGCCGUAAACGAUGAGUGCUAAGUGUUAGGGGGUUUCCGCCCCUUAGUGCUGCAGCUAACGCAUUAAGCACUCCGCCUGGGGAGUACGACCGCAAGGUUGAAACUCAAAGGAAUUGACGGGGGCCCGCACAAGCGGUGGAGCAUGUGGUUUAAUUCGAAGCAACGCGAAGAACCUUACCAAAUCUUGACAUCCUUUGACAACUCUAGAGAUAGAGCCUUCCCCUUCGGGGGACAAAGUGACAGGUGGUGCAUGGUUGUCGUCAGCUCGUGUCGUGAGAUGUUGGGUUAAGUCCCGCAACGAGCGCAACCCUUAAGCUUAGUUGCCAUCAUUAAGUUGGGCACUCUAAGUUGACUGCCGGUGACAAACCGGAGGAAGGUGGGGAUGACGUCAAAUCAUCAUGCCCCUUAUGAUUUGGGCUACACACGUGCUACAAUGGACAAUACAAAGGGCAGCGAAACCGCGAGGUCAAGCAAAUCCCAUAAAGUUGUUCUCAGUUCGGAUUGUAGUCUGCAACUCGACUACAUGAAGCUGGAAUCGCUAGUAAUCGUAGAUCAGCAUGCUACGGUGAAUACGUUCCCGGGUCU